AAUCCAACAGUCUCCCACUUGGAUAAGUCUAAAACUAUUAUUGCGUAUGACUUCAGGAACCAACUGGCAAUCGUAGCUCUCAAAAGCUUCUGUCGAACUCUGACCUUGUAGAUGAACUCUGACCUUUGUCAAUGACUUGUCCAUUAGAUAAGGGAUCAUAUAUUCCUCCAUUCUAGAUAUCAUAUGGACUGAGACAUGGAUUAUAAUCAUUCUCUCUGUCCAUUUGUUGUUUCCCGAUUUCCGAUUUAUGACGACUGACUAAUUGAACAAAUCAAAUCAGUCCUGGCCCGGCCGAGCACUUCCAUUUGUCAUCAUCAAAUCAUCGAGGGGCCCACAGAUAUCGCUUUUAUCCCGAAGGUAAAAGGAAUGGAUAAACUUCGACUCAUAUGGCUUGUUCUACUACUUGUUGAAUCAUACACAAAGGCACGUUUUAUAGCACCGAGUUACCAAAUGCGUUUUCGUGCAAUCAAUGUACUAUCAACUCAUAGUAACAACUCAUAUCUCUAGGUUUGAAGAAUAUAAGAUAUUAUCGUCUCAUGAUCACUCGUGAUAAAAUCCAUGAAGUGAUUCCAAUGAGCGCGGGUUGAAUCCAAUACUCAGAACUUAUGAGCACUCAUGAGUGUUGUAGCCCUUUGUCCAACACCUUAGACCUCUACAAGCCAACCCAUGACAGUCUUAAUUCAUAUCUACUUCCAACAUAUGACCGACUGUGGAUGGUUUGAAUAACUUAGUCAUUCCGGAAGAAUAACCUAGUUUAUUCGGGAAGUCAAAACAUGCAAAGUGAAACACAAUAAUAAUUGAAUCCAAUAUGGUAUCAAAACUUAUGAACAUAAAUAAAACACCUUUUAUUUAUCACCAUAUGAUUACACAUUAUUCAUUGUAUACUGUUUCAGCUAUCAACUUUAUUCUUGAAUUUAAAACAAUAGUUGUCCCAUGCUCCAAGCAUGUACACUAUGUUUUCUUAAACACUAGUCAUGCCACACACCAAGUAUGCAUACUAUGUUUGUCUAUGAUCUUUACUUUGUGAACUAGAUCAAUUGAACAUAACUUCAAUGAUUCUCUUUUCACACUCCCAAAUCCUUACUGCAAAUGCAAGAAUUCCAAAUUCAUGCCAUUUACUGAAAUCUGUUAGAUUCUAAACUUAUAUGCAUUGAUCCUCUUGUAAUGAUUAUGCACAAAGUCAGAAAGACUUGACAACAAUCAUUACAGAGUAUUCCAAAGGAGAUCAGCUCCUUGGAAACAUCCUUCUUGCAUUAAGUUUCCUAAUCUUAAACAGAUUGAAAAUUCUAACUUUGAAACAUUUCCAGAUUCCAUUUUGACUAUCACUUCUGAACAAGAGUUGCCUCCUUACAGAUUAUGUCAAUAUGGUCCUUCCAGAAUUAUCACUAUACUUCCAACUGUCCUUGAGCAACCAAUCUUUGGUAAACCUUAGAUUGUCCUCGACAAUUGUUUAAUCCUUUUAGUCAUAUCCAGUUCUAAACCUUUUCCCUUCUUAAUGCCCCAGGCAUUUGGAAAAUUUUAGAACGGAUGAAUAUAGCACAUGUAAUCGAUCCUAUAUCCGAAGCAUAUGGGACACGAUUCAUGAUGUCUCACAUAAAGACUAAACCAGUCUUUUGCUAUAAUAUUUCCAUUUCAAUUUGCCAAGUUCUCAUAAUUCAGAUUAUGAAAAGGGAUGCCGUAAUCAUAAUCGAAUUUUAGAACGCAAAUAAUGGACCCAUAUACAGAAUUUCCUUAUGUUGAGCCAUUCCAACAUGAAAUUCAUAUAUAUCCUUGACUAAAUGAUUAAAACCUCACGAUCUAAGCUUAUAGAUUUGAGAUGAAGUAUAAUUUCCUCUCCCUUAAUUAUAGCAAAACAACUUUUUCCCAAUUGAAACUUUUGUUUUCUAUAAUUAACAUUGCUAACUUGCAAUACUUAUCAUAAUUAUCAUGCUCCCACUAACAUGAUGAUUAUUAGCAUAACACUUAUGCUCCCACUAGCUUUGACAUGUACUCAGAAAUCAGCUGGACUUCUAGAAAUCAAUACUUCAUUGACUUUCUUACCAAAGUUCAGAUUUCUGAUGCUAGAUUGUUUUGAUAAAGCUUUAUCAAAAUCAUACACCUUCCCUUAGAUAGCACACUUGUGUGUCUAAACAAUUAUGAAGAGGUAUGCCGUAAUCAUAAUGGUUAGACCUUUUUGCCACUUCUCACAAGUCCAGGUUAGUGUGCCGGUAAACCACACACGCUCCACUAACGACUUUGAGAAUGCAAAUAUCACAAUUGCUAUCUAGCUAAAAUCUACUUAGUGAAAGUGUUUCCUCACCAUCAUUUUCAUGAAUCGGAGAGAAACCUUAUGACACUUAGAUUUAAUGGUGUAUGUGUUCUUAUCCAUGUGAAUUGUCAAAACCAUAGUCACAAGACAAGGAUAAUGACAAAUCCAAACUCAUAUGGACUGAACUCAAUCUUAAUUUCUUGCCACCUGGCAGCUCAAGGGCCUGCCAUUGCUUCCAAGUUGUUGUGCAACAAAUUGAGAACUCUAAGAACUCAUAUGCAAAGCCAACUUUAACUGGAAUGGGCACAGAAUAUGUCAACACGAUAGGUUAUGAACCUCAAGUCGUGUGCUAGUGAAGAACUUCAGGUUUUAUUCUUGAUUAGUUCUUGAGACUUUCAAGACCUUUAAGACUCCCACUGUCCUCUUGACAUAUAAGACUCCCUUGUCAAACAUCCAAGAGAUAGUGCGGAUUCUAAUCAAGAAAAACACUUUACCCAAUUGGCCUAAGUUGGUCUUUGUUUUAUCCAAAACAUCACAACUUACCAAUUUCAAAUGUACAAGAGUAGAAAACUUUUACUCUUACAUUUGACAAGUGUUUUAAACCUUCUUUAAGACAUGUCACUCAAAUGACAAUCUUGGAGUAUGACUCUAAGACUUGUAUUGGAACGAAGUAUGACUCAUCUUCUUGAUUUAACCAUUUCAACAAUUCAAGUUCCUCUUCUUAGUCAUAAGAAUGCACUAAGAUUUCCUUAGAGAACUAAUUUUGAUAUGGUUUCUUAAUCAUUAAGAUGAUCACAAAACUGAUACUAAAGUACUCUCCCAUCUUUUCAGAUUUGAGAAACUUUUAUCCUUCUGCCUUAUUUGAUUCUUCUUAUUCGCCCUGCCAUACAUUGGAACCUUUUCCAAUGUCUCAGAGUUACACUUAAGCUUGUAAGUAUAAUCAUAUUUACUGAGCUUUAGUAAACUAUGACGAAUAGUCUUAUCAAUCUUUUGUGGUGGACUUAAUCAGUGCACAAGAAUGUGUACUCGAUCCCUUAGUCCUUUACUUGACUCACACAUCCAUGUGGCCGAGUAAUUAGUCUUAAUUUUCCAAAACUUGAAAGUUCUCAUUCAUCAUGCUAUACAACUUGCAUGAUUCCAAGUUCCGGUCCAAUUGAAACUUGGGUGAUGAGAAUCUUUCCUUAUUUGGUAAAUCUAGACAUUACCACAAAUGAAAGAAUCAAUUUCAUAUUUCCACUCUUGCUCUUAAUGGAAUCAUAUAAGCAACAAUUUUUCCUCAAAAGCCAUUGUAAGGAUAUUUUAAAAUAAAUAAAAUCAAAAAAUUUUUCUUUUAUUUUAAAACUUUGCGGAAAAACUUAUCCUUACAAUCCAUAUGAAAACUUGUUGUUAUCUAUUCCUAAGCAAUAUCUCAUAACUCCUAAGAAGUUGCUCAAGAAUCCGAUCUUCAAACUAUGCGAUAGAAAUCCAUCUACGCCAUCAGAUUCAGCAUAUUCUUUCUUUAAGUUUCUUCACUUUUCUUUGAUUCUUAAAACAUCACCAUGUGACCCAGUCACAUCAUGUAUCAGGAAUCUCAGAAUAGAAACUUAACAGAGUUAGAUAGUGGUCUUUACCUGAAGUAGAGUCAAACUUAUUGACUUUAACAUCCUUAGGUAAAUUUGGCAGCUUCGCAACCAAUGCCCCUUCCCUUGGCAAUAUAAACAUAUGGACCCUUUGAUAAUGGUACACGAGACUAUCACAGACUUAGCUUUUCUCUUUACCAUUUGGUCAACCGAGUUGACUAUGGCCGAUCCCUUUCCAUUGGGAAGAGAAUGCUUUACUGGAUAUCCAAUGUCAUCAUUGUCAAUGUCCAUAAAGUUUUAGGAAGUUGAUCUUAGCAAAUAGAUAAGAUCAUUAAGGGUCUUGUCAUAGUCUGUUUCAUAGGUGUCCCAAAGGAACUCACUAUGUGACUUAGAAAGUGAUUGAACCACCAACUUUCUCAAGACUUUGACACCCAACUCUCCCGGCUUGUCAAUAUGUGACUACAUCUCCAAGAUGUGAUCACACCUAGACCUUGCCUUGCCAAUAGGGCUUGAGUGACCUUAAACUUUUCAAGAACUUGUGGGUUAGGGAGAAUAAUUGGAGGAGGUGAAAGAAGUAUGAUUUCCAAAGGACAUCAUCUUCAUUUAGGAAACCUUGUUUCACUAGAUUUGGGAAGAUCAUAGGUGUCUAUUACAGACAUCUUUUGGGAGAUAUUCAAGAUAGUUGAUUUAAAGUCCUUAAUAUGACACCCAAUAUGAAAUAUUAAGGCUAGGACCCAACAAACUAUUUUAUAACUUAGAAGAGGUAUGCCGUAAUCCAAGCUAUAAAAUAUUUGAAGGUAGGUGAAUGACGAUUCACCAAUUUCCACCAAGAUAAACGAAAUGUAUUAUUAGGUUUUAAUUGGUUUUGAAACUCCUAGAUCUUUGAGAUUCAUUGAACUUUUCAAAGGCAUGUUUCAAUCUCGAGUGUGCCCUUCAGGUUUUGUGACUGGGAUGCCGAGGAUCACAAAACAAGGUGUGAAGUAACCAUGCAAAUCACUUGGUACCCUUAAUAAAUUACCCCUCAAUCGAUGUGCCGGUUAACCACACACGCUCCAUCGAUACUAUGAUAAAUAUUAAGUCACCCUUUACCUACCUUGUUAAGUCCAAGUUAGUGUGCCGGUUAACCACACACGCUCCACUAACGACUUAGACAAAGUGUAAAGUGUAAUUUCAUGGAUUAGCACCUUAUUCACAUUUUUCCUAAGUAACUAAGAUUGGGUAUUAUUAAGAGUUUAGUUACUUAGUAUUAUCAUUAAUACUUUUAAUGAAGGGAGAAUUCUAGUCCUGUCAAACCCGUUCGGCUAACGACCCUCCACCAGUCAAGCAAGCGGUGGGUGAGAGUGGACACCCAUUAAGUUGCCAUUUUAUAGGCAACAACCUUAUACCCACCUUAUAGACCGGCUUCGUGAAUGAGGCGUACUAGCGGUAAGACUGACUUUACUCUUAUACAUAUAUAUAUUAUUAACUUAUAAUAUUAUAAAGUAUAAGGGUUGAAUUUUAACUUUUAAAAUUCUAAGGGCUAACUUGGAAUUAAAGUAUUCAUAAGUGAAAACUUUACAAAUUCCAAAACUUGAGGGCAAGUUUUGAAACUAUUCAAAACUAAUUAAUUCCAUAACUUAUGUGUUUAAAGUAGUUUUAAUCCAAAAACUCUUCAAGUUCCAUAACUUGAGGACAAGUUAUGGAAGACUUUAAACUAAUAAAAGAAUUAACUUUUCUUUAUUUUAUAACUUAUGGAAUUAAUUAAGGUUACACUUUUUUUUUUUUUAUUUUAUUUUAUUAAAUGAAGAGACUCUUGGUCCUCCAUAACUUGAGGACAAGUUAUGGAGUCAUAAAACCAUUUAAUUAGAACUAGACUCUUCAUUUUUGUAACCUUUGCCAAUUUUUAUGAGUUUUAUGAUUCUUAAAUGUGACUUUUCAUAUAACUUGAGGACAAGUUACAAAAACACAUUUUAGAAUCAAUUCUUAGAUUAAUUUGGAUUAAAACCAACUAUCACAUAAUUUUAUUCAUUAAUCUAAAUUCACUCAUAAAACAAGGUAACACAAAAAACUUUUGGUGAUCCAUAACUUAUUCUUAAGUUAUGGAAUCCUUUAAAACAUUAACACCAAAUUUUGUAACUCCAAAAAAACUUUGAAUCAAUUUUUUUUUUAAAACCUUUUCAUAUCCAUAACUUAUGGAGGUUUCAAAAAAUAAAACUCUUUAGAUCAAACUUUUAAAACUAAUAAAAUAAUCAUAUUAUUUUAUCUUUUAUUAAAUUUGACCUAAUUCAACUCAUAAAGCAAAUUAUUCAAAUUUUACAAAUAAUUAGUUUUUCACAAGAACAAGUAAUUAUCUUAAAAUUUGACAAACUUCAUGUUUUUUUUUUUUUUUUUUUUCAACUUUGAAAAUAAAAUAUUUGCAUCAAUAUAACAGAAAACAACCCGUGGCUCUGAUACCACUGUUGGGUUUUGAGCAUUCUAACACUUCCUAAGUGUACAUGCAACCCUAAAUACCUUGGAUCUAUGUUUUCUCUAUUAUACAUGCAAAUAAGAACUUCCAAGGUAUUAUCCUAAUCUAGCAUACAAAACAAUGAAUAUAACAAGAUAGAAUACAUACCUCUUUGAUGUAGAAAGUCUUCAUGAAGCUUGAGUGCCUAGUGCCCCAAAUGUGACACCUCAAAUGGUUCACACAACACCAAAUACACUUGGAAUAACUUGAGAGAAUUCUACACUUCAUGAAAAUCGGCUAGCCCUUCUAUUACNAGAAUAAGAUCUUUAUAUAGUGUUACAAUUAGGGUAAACCCUAAUUGUCAUGACUUUCCAUUUCCUUGGAUCCAUGGGUUCAAAUACACCAUGGAGCAUCCAUGGACCAUCCUAUGGGUUUUAGCCCAACUUGAUUAUCCAUGGAGCAUUAGCCCACUAUACAAGUAUGGAUGAUUUACACAAUCAACCCAUAUAUUUAAUUAGUCUUCUUUUGAUCACUUAAUUAAUCCUAGAUUAAUUCUUGAUCAAUACUAAUUAAAUAAUCUUAUUAUUCUUAUUAUUAAUAUACUAGAACUUAUAAUAUAUUAAUAACCAUAAGUGUCUUAUUUCUCUCAUUAUAGUCUAUCCAAGUGCAUGAUGCCAUGCAACCCAAAUGGACCAUGCCGGGUCGGGUCAAGUCUUACCAAUUAUAGUUAUGGACUUAGACAUUAAUCCAACACAAUAGAGGUACCGGAGUCAGUUGAUUGGGACUGCGGUGGUACUUCUUUUGACUGUGUCUACUGAGGCUGCGGUGGAGGGGGAGGGUUUUUAGUGGAAUGAAAGUGAUUUUUCUGAAAGAUACGGUUGAAAGGUGGUCGAUUGAAUUGUUGGUUUUUGCGAUAUGAAGGUGGUAAGGGAUUGAAUUUCUGACUAAUAAGAGCAAUGGCAUUUUGAAAUUCUUCUUCGUCGUCAUAUUCUGAGUCAACUUCAUAUGACUACGAUGGAGAGUCAUAUGAGGUGGAAUAGGUUUAAGUGUGAGGUGAUUGGGCUACUAAUGCGAGUGGUCCUCCGAAGUCUGAGCAGUCCUUAAGUACAGUGGACUCUUGAGCUUGCAAUUCUCCAUAAAGCUUAUAGAGAGAUAAAGAGUGAAUCUUCAUGUCACCUUGUACAAUCAUUUUGGCUGUUGUCCAGUGUCUUCCUAAGCCAUUAAGAAACUGCAGAUUUGUUUCAUGAUUGCUGCGGAUGGUACCCACAUUGGACAGUUUUGUGACAAUCAACUUGAACCUUUUAAAUGAAUCUUCCAAACUUUCACCGGAGUGGGCUUUGAAAUUAUUGAAUUUGUUGAGUGUUGUAGUGAGCUUCUUGUAUUGAGCCUGCUCUGAACCUUCAUACAAGUUUUUGAGAACAUCCUAAAUCUCCUUUGCUGAUCUGCAAUUUAUGAUGAUGUUGAACUUGUCAGGAUCAACUCCACAAGAGAUUUCAUAAAAGGCAAUAGCAUCAGUUUCCAUUUUGUCUAGAUCAUCUUUUGUGGGACGAUUCAUGGCUGGUUGACCUCCUCCAAGUCUUGCUGUGGCUCCAUCAGUUUGAACAGGGGUAAGGACUGGAACAUGGGGUCCUUCUUCUACAGAUCUCCAGACGUCUCUACCAAGUCGUCUGAGAUAUCUCUCCAUCCUUUGAGACCAGUGGUGAUACUCAUUUGCAACCAGUAUUGAGGCUCGAUUGGAACCACCAAUACUGUUGGAAACAUUCAGUGAUAACGAUUGUGCCAUUAGAAAUUUUGUGUAGAAAUGAGCUUCAGUGGUAUAGAGGGCUCUUUGAAAAAUCAGAGUUCCGAUAUUCAAAAAGCAACCACUCUGACUCUGAUACCAAUUGUUGAGAGAAAAACUUUGAGACACACUUGAAAAAAUGGUUAGAACAAGUAUAUAGCGAAAUAGUUAAUCACGAAGGAUCUGUUAACUCAACAAUAAUAUUAAUAGUUAGAGGUUAGUGAGUUAGAUGCGGAAAGUAAAGUAAUGUAAAUGACAGCAAUUGUUAUAUCAAGAAUACACGUAAGUUGAUUCAUAACUUGGAUUGCAUUCAAACCAAUGUUAGUAAGUGACAUCAAACUUAGUGAAGAAGUCACAAGGACUUGCUCUGAAGAGAGAUUAUGAUCUGAUAUGAUAGUAAAAUAUUAGAUAGAUAGAAGAUUUCUGAGAUAAGUAGUAAAGAUACUUGAAGAUGCGUAUUUUAUUUAGAACAAGUGAGCUCUAUUUAUAGAGACUCAAGCAUUACAAAAGAUAACUUCUAGAAGUAGCCAUGCAAGGCAUACUGGAAAAUAGAAAGCAUAAAGAAAAGACAAAAUAGACUAAGUACAAAGGCUUGAUGUCUUCUGACUUCGGAUUACUGCGGUAGAUGCUUUCAUUGGGGUAGCAAGUUGACUGCGGUUCUAGAAAGUUCAAGAGGGUCACUUUCAGUGUUCUAACACUCCUCUCCGCACCACAAUCAAAGAGUAUGCAUGCAUAAACGUUAUUGAGGAGAAACGUCCCUGUAACCACCGUGGGAUCAGCUAUCGCUUCGUUCUGCCCUAUUGCCAACACUCGUCCCGUGCCGCCAGCAUUCCUUGCCUUAGGGUAGUCUCUUUUGUAGUGUCCAGCCUCACCACAACCAUAACACAUCUGGCCCACACCGACCCCAGGGACUUGGGUGAUUGGUCGUGCCGGUGCCUUACAGAAACAGGCAGUGUGCCCCUUCUUGUUGCAGUUGUUGUAGUGCAUCUCCCGACAAUUUCCGUUGUGAUGGAAAUUGCAUUUGUUGCACUUUGGUAGGUUCCCAGCAUAUGGCUUUGCUGGUGUAGUGGUAAUUUAAGCAGUAGUGGGGGCAGUAGCGGCAUGGACUGCCACAAUCUGUUUUUUCUUGGAAGGUUCAUGUGAAGGUUGACUCUUCCUUUUGUUCCAGAAUCUCUUCUUCUGUUGUUGUUGGUAUUGCCGUUGUUGUUGUUGCUUCCUCUGGGUUACUCCGGUGCAGUAGUUGCGAAGUCUUGGCAUACCCCAUGGUCUACGAGAGCUUGUGCCAACGGUUUGGCACUAUCGAAAGUGAUUGGUUUGGAAGCUAGAACACUUCCUCGAAUCUAGGGUGACAGUCCCCAGAUGUACCUUUUGAUCUUCUUGCUCUCUAGAGCAACUAUUCCUGGGCAAAGGAUUGUGAAAUCACUGAACCUGUUGGUAUAGGUCGUGAUGUCUGAGCCUACCAUGGUAAGGCCCUAAAGCUCCUGUUCGAGCUUUUGCAAUUCGCCCCGUGGACAGUACUCCUGCAGUAAGAUUUGUUUUAGGUUCUCCCAGCCCAUAGAGUUAGCCACUACUAGUGUUAGUGAUUUGACAUGGCCAUUCCACCAUGUCAGAGCUCUCUCAUAGAAAGUACAGGCAGCGAAAUUCACUUUGUUCCCUUCCGGACAAGAACAAAUCUCCAAAACUGCUUCAGUUUUCUCUAUCCACUGUGAUAGAGCCAUUAUCCCUCCAGUCCCAUUAAAAGUAAAUGAUUUUCUAUUCAUGAAAUCCUUUUAUGUACAAUCCCCCGAAUGACCUGGACGUUGGCUAUUCGUAGAACUACUCACUCCCCCACCAGAACCAUUGUUACUCAUUUGGGUCAUUGCAGUUGUUACUACAGCCGUUACAACGGCUAUCCAUGCGGCAUUUUCCGUUGAUGGAGGCGGUGGUGGUGGAGGCAUUGUUCCCGGCCUGGGUCUUUGGUUUGGACGAGGAGGCAUCGCGCUACCAAGAAAUAAAAUAAAAGAUUAUAAGUUUUGGUGGUUGUUGGGAUUAAAACCCUAAUUGAGAUUUGAUGAACAAUAUGCGGAAAAUAAAAACAAACACAAAUAUGAAGAUUAUGUCGAAUGAUCACUAGAUUUAUUCAAAUAUGAGGAAUAAAUUACACUUUCAGCAUAGACUAAAGAAUCUAACACUACAUAAGAAAUCUCACAUGGCGGCUACAUUUUGCCUCUCUCUUAACCCUAAUUGUGAAUAAUACAUGACUAUUUAUAGGGAAAAGACAAGUCUUGGGCUUUUAACCUAGAAUUCAUCAAAGGGGCCCAUUGCCAUCAUCCAUGGAGUGCUUUGAAACCCUACAAUCUCCCCCUCAAAGUAUGGAAUGGAUGACAAUGCUUUAACUUCCAAAACAAGCAUCUAGCAAAUAAAAAGAUAUGCAACAAGGAAUAUAUGAAGCUAUCCACGAAUUUUGAUUCUUCAAUAGUCUUCAAACACGGGCUCUAGGAUAUAUAAAUCAAGCUCUGAAGUAAUAUCUUUAAACUUCAUUUUCGAAUGUAAUCCCAAAGAAUCUUCAUGAAAACCAAACUCGCCAUAAAAACACAUUCUAGAACAAAGAAACCAAUCACUUCUUGUCUUUGAAGAGCUCCUCCUCCAAGUCACAAUAAUCUUCAAAUAAGCUAAUGAUAUAAGCCAUCAAAAAAAUAUCAUGUAACAACCCAAAUUUAAGAUUCGUAAUGCCACUUGAUCGAGAAAAUACUAGAAGUCGGAGAUAUAACAAGUCCUUAGCCGAGCUCGAUGAAGAACUUCUACUGUAAAGGAUACUUCUAUGUAAAAGCUUUAGCAGAGCUCGAUGAAGAACUUCCACUAUAAAAGCUACCUUCAUAAUUCUACCACAAGCUUUAUCAAAAAUCUUUCAAAUUUGAAAAGUUACAAAUCCAAUUUCGAAUGGCCAUAUCAAAUUCUCUGCCGAUUUCUAAUCAAUAACAUGAUUAUAAAGCCUUCAAAUGGUCAUGACAAUGAUCUUGAACGGAUAAAAAAUUACUAUGCUCCCCCGCGAAAAAAUGAUAUAAACGAUGAAGUAUAAAAUCUGAAAAAGUCGAGAAAAUUUGACGUUAUUGCUAAAAACCACUUUCCAAACCGCCAAGACUUGAUGGAAUCAUUAUUUUUCUGUUCACAAAAAAUUUGUGCGUUAAAAAAUUCAAAACUGUUCACCAGCCCUCAAAUUUGUAAACUUUUCUGAAUAUUGAGCAGAAACUGUCACUUGCAGAAAGACAGGGGCUGGAAUGGUAAUUCUGCAUCAAUUUCCCCCUUUAAUUGUAACAUUUUUUGGAAAUGGUCCAUAAUCACCAAGCUAUGUAAACAACGGGGACCAAAAGGGUCAAAAUCACUUAAGUUGAAGGGACCAAAAAUAACAUGAGUCAUCUUUCCCAAUUUAACGUCUAUUACAACCCAUUUUCGUAUUUGAAGAACACGAAUUCAAACAACUCCCAUUUAGACGGAUGAUUAAAACAGCCAUAACUCCGUGUAGACUUUCGUUCCGAGCACAAGGUCCAUGAGGAGAUGAGUGCGAACCCGAUUCCUUGACCUUUCACUCCAAAUCAGUCGACCACAGACCCGAUGCGAAUCACCCGUAACAACGAAUCCAAGAAAUUACCAACCCCCGAAUCACCCCUCGUUCGUUCCAAGCACAAACAUAAAACCCAAGUUCGUUCCGAGUCCACCGAUUAUACCCCCAAAGCGAACGUUCACAGGAAGAACUUUCAAGGCAAUUUUGACUUUUCUAAUGUACCUUUGACUUUCAAUUGCGAAUAAGCACACAACUACCCAGAUUACACACCCGAUUGUACUCACGAUUAUGAUUUCAUUCAUUCACAGUUAACUCAUCAUUCUUUCGAUUAUGACUUACAGGUUUGACUUGGCAAUUGUGUACAUGGCAUCAAGAUAAUUCCGGAUGUAUUUUCCAUUUGCAAAGAAUGAUUUUGUGCAAGUUCCGAUAGAUUCCAACUAUUCUGAUCAAUACCACACAUGAUUCAGGAUCCGAUUUUUGUUCCAACGAAGUGAUUUUGCUGUUCCGAUUUCAACAUUAAGCCUUUUGAUCUGAUUCUUGAUUUUCGGUUUUGACCAUCCAAUACAGGCAACGCCAAACAACACAAUCAAUUUUCUCAACUCAAUUUCCAAGCUAAACAAAUCGAUUAUGGAACAUGAUAGAUUAACUUAGUUCAAGCAGAUAAUCAAAGAACAAAAUCAAAAUUGAUUUUGAGAAUGAUACUUUUCAGAAAUUUUGACUCAAGAACAAAAAUUGAUUAAUAAAUCAAAUAAGUGUAACGAAUCAAAAUAUAAGAAUGAAUCGCUUAAUUUGAACAAAGGAUUUCGAGAUACAAGAUGAUUCCACUUGUGUGAUACGAUUUCAAAGAACCAUAUGUGGGCUAAACCAAUGAGCAGUAAUCAAGAACUAUGGGCUCAAGAAUGGAACGAAUGAACAGUGAGAAAAAUUAUAAGGAUCGGUUGAAUGCAUAGUUAUUAGAUCAAGAAUAUGGAUAAAAAAAAACAAUUGGGCGAGAUGAUAUGGUUUAGAGUAAGAAAGCAUAUUAGAUCCAAAAACAAAUUAAAACUGAAAAGAUAGUUGGAUUGAAAUUAUACCCAGAUGAACAGUAGAAAAACCCAUAAAUUUCCAUGAAUAGUAGCUUGAACUUAAAUCUUGAGUCCAUACUGCCAAAACAUCAAAAUCUUCAAUAACUUGUGUAGAAAAUCACCAAAUCAAGAACCGAUACUUCAAAAUCAAUAGAUCUUCAAAGACCCGCGCUGAUGCCACUUGUUGGGAUUAAAACCCUAAUUGAGAUUUGAUGAACAAGAUGCGGAAGAAAAGAUCAAACACAAAUAUGAAGAUUAUGUCGAAUGAUCACUCGAUUUAUUCAAAUAUGAGGAAUAAAUUACACUUUCAGCAUAGACUAAAGAAUCUAACACUACAUAAGAAACCUCACGUGGCGGCUACAUUUUGCCUCUUUCUUAACCCUAAUUGUGAAUAAUACAUGACUAUUUAUAGGGAAAAGACCAGUCUUGGGCUUUUAACCUAGAAUUCAUCAAAGGGGCCCAUUGCCAUCAUCCUUGAAGUGCUUUGAAACCCUAUAGGGGUUGAGAGUUGAAUGAUAAUGAGUUAACUAUCUUUAACAGUUCGAGAAUUUGGUUUGACCAACACAUGGUUUUGAGUUAGAUACACCAAUGGAGUUUGAAUAACAAUAAACAAACUCAUGAACUCGAAUGAAAUGCAUAGAAUUAACACACAAAAGAGAUAUGUCCUAUAUAUAUAUNAUAUAUAUAUAUAUAUUAAACAUAUGGUUGUGUUACAUCUGAAGUUAGAAAAUUGUGACCUUUCUAAAGGUCUCCGAUUACAGGAAGUUAAAGAGGGUAAGACUUUUAGCCGAUGGUCCUAUUCUAUAUCAAAAUUUUGGGAUUCAGCAAGCACCACUUGCGACGUAGGUUGCGCUUGGAGCUUGACUCCACAUCCGAUUGUUUUGCUUCCAUAAGACGCCUGUCGAAGGCGGCUUGUUGUUCCCUCAUCUCGGAGAGGGCUGCAAUCAUUUGUGCUUGGAAGGCAUCGGUUUGGAGUUGGGCAUUAUCUUGUGCUCUGUCUAGCCUAUGGAUGUCGGAAGUGUGAACUGUACUUCCACGUUGACUUCAUGAAUCUGGCUCGCUUGAACCCCGGAUUGAUAGGACUGGAUGGCUAGCUUGCCCACCAUGACUGGGAGUGCUCGAUCGGCUGAACCUCCGCCGCGGACAUCGUAGAAGUCUCGACACAUGCCGUAGCGAGGACGUAUCCCUUGUUGCUAGCUCCAAUGGUGGAGGUGACUUCCCCAAACGGGAGUCGGUCCCUGGAAGUUCCUCCUAAUAGCGGGAGGUUGAGCAGCUGGAGGGUCGACUACUUCUGGUUCUUAGUCCGUCCCGGAGUCAUCCCCUCCUUCCAACUUGAUAGAUUCUUCAUCCUCUUCGGGAUCUUCUUAGAUCCAUCCCCCGUUACCUUGGUUGGGGUAGUAGGAGCCGCCGGGGUGAUGAAAUCCAACCAUUGAGUCUAUACGUGAAUAUGGUUAUAGGAAUUGAACAAAAUUUGAAAUAUGUAAAACUAAGCAUGUCGAUUAAACUUAUUGCAUGUACCAAAUACUCCUAUAUUAUUUAAAUUUAUAUGUUUGAUACUAGUGUUUAUUUUUGGUAAGUUUUGACUUGUUGCUCACUAUGACCAUUCCUCGACAUACGUUAGUCUAAUCUCGGAUAAAUAUAGUUGAUCAUGCUAUAUUCGUCCCAAAUCCGAUUACAUAUCUCAAGGUCUAAUCGUAGUGUUCAACUUGUCUUAAUACUUCUUGUAUAUUUCUAACCAUGAAAAUACAUUGUUGUAUGCAUGUAUUUGUACUUUUCCGACCCAAAUUAAUCUAGAUUAAAUGAAAUGAGGCUUUAGGUGUAAAAAAAACGUUUUGUUAGAGAGUUUUAGUCCCUUAUGCAUUUAUAGUUUGUAUAUCUUAUGUGGUUUGAUAUACUUAGUUUACCAUAAACAAUGCUCUGAUACCAAUCUGUCACACUCCCAAACCAGAACGGCGGAAUCGUUCGAGGGUGGAUGACUUCAUGUGGUAUCGAAACAAUUGAAUACAUAGUAAAGAAAGCAAUAUAACCAUCACAUUUAUAAUUUAAAAGUUUACAUUGUUGAAUGGUACUUGUUUCAAAAGAAAAUUACAAUAUGAUGUUUAAAGUGAAAUUAAACUAACGCUGCAGCGUCCCUUCUUCAAAAAUUGCAGUUUACCUGUAUUACUGAAUCCCUGAGAAAUACAAGUGGUUUUGAAAGAGUAUGUGGCAAUGUUUAUAUGAAAAAGAAUGAAAAUGGUUUGUUCAUGUUAAAUGUUCCAAGAAAAUCCCAUAUUUUCUACCAUAGUAGAUGGUAGUUUGAUUUUUCCAAAACUGUGAUUUCAAUAGUGCUAUUCUUGCUUAAAAUAGUAGUUUUAUGUGUGAAUCAUUAAGGCAUUUGAAAAACCCCAUAAAUCAAUGUGUUUUUAAUACUCCAUGUGAGUCUUAUAACCAUACUAUUUGACCCGGAUGCCUAUAACAAUGUUCUUCAAGCGUUGGAAAGUUAUGACGUUUGUCACCCCAAACCUGCCGACCUAGUUGUAGCUAACAACUUUGGUGUGGGAUUGUCAAUCCGUAUAGAUCUAUACACAAGUAUCAUGCUCCCCCUACAUGGGAUUUUGGUAUAUAAUACAGGACUUAAAANCACGAGAUUAUGGUAUAUAAUACAGGACUUAAAAUGCAUACUCGAAAGUACGUGAAAUGUCUCACAAAACAUAGUAUAAAACAGAUUUACAUGUGAAAAAUGUCCAUUUAUUCUUGUGUAAGAGAAUAUCUCUUUGAUAUAGUGUUUCUAGUGUGUAAAUGUACCUGAUUUUCUCGUAAACUAUACCUAUUAUAGUUUUUCAAAAUGUGUGUUUCGUNAUAUAUAUAUAUAUAUAUAUAUAUAAAAACACAUUUUAUUUCCACAAGACAAGGUGUUAUUGAAAAUAUAUAUUUCAUGCGAGAAUACUCAUGUAGUAGUUUAUGAAUCACAUAGGAUUACUUAGAUAAAAAUCGUAUAUACUGAAUCGUUAAGUUAUACACGAUAAUAACCGUGUGUUUUACUUGCAUUCCUCCCCCUUAAUAUUGUAUAAAAAUCAUUUAUCAAACAUUUAAAAGCAUAGUUUAUAGGGGUAUGAACUCACUUGAAAGAUCAAAGAAGGCGAGAUGAAAACCGAGCAGAACUUUGACUCGACCAGGCGGAUUUUCUCGGGAUUCUCAGGAAUCUCGGGAGCACAAACGACCUUCGUGGAUUGGGUAUGGAAACUGGGGAUUCGGGAUAUUAAUGUCAUGGAAAACAAGGCAAAAACACAAGAAAGAUGAGAGGAAAUGAGCAUUUUCCCCGGAACCCUCGCAUCCCUUUUAUAGGGGCUGGGAACCGCCUCGGUACACUAGGCGUACGCGUGCGUCAUGCGUGAAUGCAUCCUCGACUGCCUCUGAGCUCGGAUGGGACGGGGCAUAGCCUGGCAUAAGGGGCGACGUGGACGACCCGAGGCCUAGUCCUCGAGUACGCUGGGCGUAACUCGGAUUGGCCUGAUGACUCCUCCUUCGGAUAACACCGAAAUUUGCAUUAAAUUUAUAUUUUUAUUAUUUAGUAAACUUCAAAAAUUCAUAUCUUCUUCAUACGAACUCCGUUUUUGACGUUCUUUAUAUCCAUGCGUAGGUGAGACUACGCUCUACAACUUUCGUUUAGACUCCGUCAGCAAAUUUUGAAAUUAUUUUUAUUAUUUAUUUUUAAAAGGUCGGGGUAAGAAAAGUUCAUUAGAAAUCCAUAACUUCUUUACCCGAUGUCUGUUUUUGCCAGACUUUUUACCGUUGAAAAGCCAUUGUCGAGACCUUCGAUUCUCAUUUAGGUCAUUCUGGCCAAAAGUCGCUCGAUCUCUGUUUCGAGUUUUUAGGUGCCUAUCGCUAUUCCGAACUUGGAAAAAUCAUAACUUCCUUAUACGAAGUCAGAUUUGGACGUUCUUUUUAUGUACGAUCACGGUUUAAUGAUAGGUAACAUAGUAUGUAACCAAAUAGAGACUUUUGUACACUUUUAUUUUCAAAGUUAAUUUCAUUAUUUUCAAAAGUGGUUACAAUACUUGGCUUUUUAAGUCAUUACAUAGAAUCGAAAUAUCGGGUUGUCACACCAUGGGUUCACGGCCCAAGAGGUGUUCACGGCCCAUGAAUACAAGAAGGGUUCACGGACCAAGAUGUGUUCACGACCAAAGAACACAUGAAUACUUGAAGGGUUUUCGGCCCAUUAUGAAGGGUUUACAGCCCAUGUAGAAGGGUUCACGGUCCUAUGAAGGGUUCACGGUUGUGAACUCUCGAAUACCAUGAAGAUGGUGAUGAAAAGUGAUGAAUCUGUUGGGUUUUGAGCAUUCUAACACUCCUAAGUGUACAUGCAACCCUAAAUACCUUGGAUCUAUGUUUUCUCUAUUAUACAUGCAAAUAUGAACAUCCAAGGUAUUAUCCUAAUCUAGCAUAUAAAACAAUGAAUAUAACAAGAUAGAAUACAUAACUCUUUGAUGUAGAAUGUUCUCAAGAAGCUUGAGUGCCUAGUGCCCCAAGUGUGACACCUCAAAUGGUUCACACAACAUCAUAUGCACUUGGAAGACUUAGAUAGAAACAUCACACUUCAUGAAAAUCGGCUAGCCCUUUCUUAUCUCCAUAGUCGCCAAUUUUUCCAAGAGUAUGAUCUUUAUGUAGUGUUACAAUUAGGGUAAACCAUAAUUGUCAUGGCUUUCCAUUNNNNNNNNNNNNNNNNNNNNNNNNNNNNNNNNNNNNNNNNNNNNNNNNNNNNNNNNNNNNNNNNNNNNNNNNNNNNNNNNNNNNNNNNNNNNNNNNNNNNAUAAGUCUAAAACUAUUAUUGCGUAUGACUUCAAGAAGCAACUGGCAAUCGUGGCUCUCAAAAGCUUGAACUCUGACCUUGUCGAUGAUCUCCGACCUUUUUCAAUGACUUGUCCAUUAGAUAAGGGAUCAUAUAUUCCUCCAUUCCAGAUAUCAUAUGGACUGAGACAUUGAUUAUAAAUCAUUCUCUCUGUCUAUUUGUUGUUUCCUGAUUUCUGAUGUAUGACAACUAACUGAUUGAACAAAUCAAUUCAUUCCUGGCUUGGCCAAGCACUCACAUGUAUCAUCAUUAAAUCAUCAAGGGGUCCACAGAUAUCGCUUUUAUCCUGAAGGUAAAAGGAAUGGCUAAACUUCGANUCUAAUCCAAGAAGGAAUAGAUAAACUUCGACUCAUAUGCUUGUUCUACUACUUGUUGAAUCAUACACAAACACACGUUUUAUAACAUCGAGUUACCAAUGCGUUUUCGCGCAAUCAACGUAUAACCAACUGAUAGUAACAACUCAUAUCACUAGGUUUGAAAAAUAUAAGAUAUUAUCGUCUCAUGAUCACUCAUGAUAAAAUCCAUGAAGUGAUUCAAAUGAGCGCGGGUUGAAUCCAAUACUCAGAACUUAUGAGCACUCAUGAGUGUUGUAGCACAACUUUGUACACCAACUUGGACCUCUACAAGCCAACCCAUGACAGUCUUGAUUCAUAUCUACUUCCAACAUAUGACCGACUGUGGAUGGUUUGAAUAACUUAGUCAUUCCGGAAGAAUAACCUAGUUAUUAUGGAAGUCAAAACAUGCAAAGUGAAACACACGAAUAAAUGAAUCUAAUAUGGUAUCAAAACCUAUGAAUAUAAAUAAAAC
rnacentral:lncRNA from 1 species